GGUCUUUUCAAAUGAGUCAGUUCUUCAUAUCAGGUGUAUAUCUAUGGCUGAUUCAUGCUGAGGAGUGUCCUUCAGCGCCGCCGCCUCCGCCACCGCCAUCGGACUUAGUGCGCGGAGAGGGGCUAACCCAGCACCAACGUCUCCAGGCCGCCCUCUAGGUAGCGAUGUGCCCGACUGUAGGACCGCCUCUAGUCCCUGGGGACAAAGCGUCUUCUCCCGCCUCCUCUGUCACCUCAACCCCGAUCCUUCGGACCUCGAAAACCGCUCAAAGAGCCGCUAUGAAGACACAGGAAGUCCCACCUUCACCCAGUGAGCCCGCCCACCCGCCGGAAAUGUCGAAAUUCUGGAUGUUCAUUGGGUGGGCCCCGCUGCUGCUCAACGCUUGGCUUUGUGGAUAAUGGAGUUCGGGCAGGCGCAAGCCUGCCGCCUGAGAGAUUCUGCUUGAAUCUCCCAGGGUCGGGCGAUCCUCUAGGCUGCUCAAAACUGACCUCCCUGUUCUUCCAGGUAGGCUAGAAGCUUCGUUUCCUCUUCAAGGGGCUAAGGACAAUUUCUGGGGAAUUCGAAGAGCAUUUAGAAAGCCUUCAAAGCUAUUGAUCUCCGAAGUGUUUGGAUAAUAAUUUAUGUUACAUGCAGCUGUCUGUAGUGAACAUGCCCUGAUAGAUGACAGCGAUGAUAUACUGUCA